rnacentral:rRNA from 1 species
CGGGUGAGUAACGCGUGGGUAACCUGCCUUAUACAGGGGGAUAACAGUCAGAAAUGGCUGCUAAUACCGCAUAAGCGCACAGAGCUGCAUGGCUCAGUGUGAAAAACUCCGGUGGUAUAAGAUGGACCCGCGUUGGAUUAGCUUGUUGGUGGGGUAACGGCCCACCAAGGCGACGAUCCAUAGCCGGCCUGAGAGGGUGAACGGCCACAUUGGGACUGAGACACGGCCCAA